rnacentral:rRNA from 1 species
CUGAUGGAGCACAGCCGCGUGAGUGAGAAGGGUUUCGGCAUCGUAAAGCUCUGUUGUUGGAGAAGAACACUGGCGUGAGAGUAACUGUUCAUACCUUGACGGUAUCUAACCAGAAAGUCACGGCUAACUACGUGCCAGCAGCCGCGGUAAU